rnacentral:lncRNA from 1 species
GGGUUUGGACUUCGCCCCCAAGGAAGCCACUAGUGGAGCUCACAUCACCUUUGUGGUGUCGUGAGAGAAGAAUAGACUGAGCCUUUGUGGUGCCUCUACCUUUGUGGUAGAGCACUCCUCCAAACGGAGACGUACACCUACCCCAAUCGGUGAAACUCCGGUGAAAAUCUUUAUCUCUCGUGUGGUAUCUAUUCUUAACAUUUACAUUCUUGUUAUCUUGUUGCUUCGGCUAUUGCACUUCAUACUAGGGUUGCAUUCACUUUAGAGAAUCCAGUGAGCCCUAGGAUUAAGUGCUUUGUAUCUUUCAAGAAAAGAAAAAUAAAAAGUAAAAUUUGAAUCGAUUGGUUGACGCGGCGAAGGAGGAAGAUUGAUUAUAGAGCAGAUUUGUUUUGUGCUCUCCGGCUCCUCCGUGUUUGGGGGCAGCAACCCCAAAGAAAGGAACAAACCUUUAUGCCCUGCGGUGGAGGAGAUUUUGUGGGCAGCGGCGGCGGCGAACUCAAUUGCACGGUGGUGGUGGAGGUGAGUCGGCUCCGUGGCUGCGUGUUCCUCCGUGAAUAAGAAAGAUAGGGGGCAAGGGGCAGGGAGCCCCAAUGCCCCAGCCUGCUCCGUCCGCACCCCUCGGUGACCUCCUUUCUCACCC